GGCCACUCGCUGGCUGGGCACAGGGACGGGUGGCACCAGGGCACCCCGGCCGCACAGAAGCGCUCUCGGAGCCCCCCGGGCACGGGGACGGUGCGGGGGCAGUACACAGGUGGGUGCAGGGCAGGCUGACCCCACAGGGCGGGUGAUGGGGGCUGCCCUCCCCUGGCCCUGCUGACACCGGGACUUGCAGGGACGCGGUACCGGGUGCCACCGCCCGGCACCCCGGCACCCCGAGGAGAGCCGAGCACCCCGGGGUGCCCCCAGUGCCACGGGAGCAGGAUGGCACCAGGUGAGCAUCCCUGACCCCAUCUGGCUGCUUCCCAAGCCUGUUAAUUAAUGACUUCAGGCAUUAAUUACUUAAUGCACAGGGAGCUGGGGCUCUCCAUGCUGUCCCUUUUCCGGACCCCAUGGCAGAGCCAUGGGUUCAUGCAGGGAGACGGCUUGGGUGCCCGCCCCGCUCCCUGCUGUGCCCGUUCCCAAAUGCCUCGUGCCUUCCCCACGCUAUUUUCUGGACGUUUCCUCCCUCUCCCUGCAGCCGGACCCACGACGGGCGACGCCGUGCGGCAGCCCCAGCAGAGCACCCCCAGGACACGGCGCUGCCCCACGUGCCGGGCACCCCGAGCUGGCCCCACGGCGAGCAGCAGGGACGGAGCCGCACACGAGCUUGGCACCGAUGCCACGUCCUUGCCAGGCUCCCGUCCCCGAGCCGAGCCGCCGGAGCAGCCGGGACUGUGGUACCUGGCAGGCGGCCCCCCCGUUGGAUACCUCGCCCCCGUGCCCCUCGUGCCUUACGCGCCCCCCCUGCUGUAAGGAUGCUCUGCACUUGGGGGGGGGGCUGGAUUGUCCCAGGGGGGCCACGAACACCCCAGAGCUGCCCCAUGGCCCCUGGCGUGGCCACGGACCCCAUGCACUGGGCAGGGCUGUGGGAGCGGGGUCCCAGCUCUUUUGGGGUGGGGGGCUGAGGUGUUGGGGGGGGCAGAUGGGUGAGAUUUGGGGGGAUUUAAGAAAAAAAUAAUGGG
rnacentral:lncRNA from 1 species